rnacentral:rRNA from 1 species
AUUGAACGCUGGCGGCAGGCCUAACACAUGCAAGUCGAACGGUAACAGGAAGAAGCUUGCUUCUUUGCUGACGAGUGGCGGACGGGUGAGUAAUGUCUGGGAAACUGCCUGAUGGAGGGGGAUAACUACUGGAAACGGUAGCUAAUACCGCAUAAUGUCGCAAGACCAAAGAGGGGGACCUUCGGGCCUCUUGCCAUCGGAUGUGCCCAGAUGGGAUUCGCUAGUAGGUGGGGUAACGGCUCACCUAGGCGACGAUCCCUAGCUGGUCUGAGAGGAUGACCGGCCACACUGGAACUGAGACACGGUCCAGACUCCUACGGGAGGCAGCAGUGGGGAAUAUUGCACAAUGGGCGCAAGCCUGAUGCAGCUAUGCCGCGUGUAUGAAGAAGGCCUUCGGGUUGUAAAGUACUUUCAGCGGGGAGGAAGGGAGUAAAGUUAAUACCUUUGCUCAUUGACGUUACCCGCAGAAGAAGCACCGGCUAACUCCGUG